UACAGAGGGUGCGAGCGUUGUCCGGAUUUACUGGGCGUAAAGGGCGCGUAGGCGGCGUGGUAAGUCACUUGUGAAAUCUCUGAGCUUAACUCAGAACGGUCAAGUGAUACUGCUGUGCUAGAGUGCGGAAGGGGCAAUCGGAAUUCUUGGUGUAGCGGUGAAAUGCGUAGAUAUCAAGAGGAACACCUGAGGUGAAGACGGGUUGCUGGGCCGACACUGACGCUGAGGAGCGAAAGCGUGGGGAGCGAACAGG
rnacentral:rRNA from 1 species